rnacentral:tRNA from 1 species
GGGGACGUGGUGAAACCUGGCAUCAUACCUGGCUCCAGACCAGAUGUUCUGCGUUCAAAUCGCAGCGUCCCCA